UUUUGUCGGUUUUCAAAUUCGUUUCGCUUUUAACAACAUAGGUGGUCAAGGACUCUAAGCAUGGCUAGAGCUCUUUGUGAGCUUCAACUGGAACUGCAGUUUCAUUCAUCCAGCUGCACUAAGGCUCAACAAACUGACAUGAACAAUUUCAUUCCAAAAACACCUGUUGGAAAAGAGUCCCAGAAGAGGAAGGGCAGAGUAUCUAGUGCAUCCUCAAAUUUAUCAACCAAGUUGCUGGUAACAAAAAUGGAUUGGGACGAAGUUGAUACUUGCUUGACAAUGGUUGAUACCCGAAUAAAAAGAGAAAAUUUGACCCCGAACUUCUCUAUUAAUAGCAUAGAAGACAAUUCAUGUGGCAUUUGCAAGUCAUGUGUUGGACCGUCUGGUAUUCAAUCUCUCCAGCAGACUCAGUGCAAAAGAAUUUGGAAUUUUCCAAGCCCAUGGGAACUAGCAAAUCUUGAUGAAAGAUUUCUGUCGAAGCGCUGUGGUCUUGGCUAUAGAGCAGGUCGGAUAAUAAAACUUUCUCAGGGUAUUGUUGAAGGGCGGAUUCCAAUGAGAGAACUUGAACAAGUUUGCAAUGGUGGAAGCUUAAAUAGUUAUAAUGAACUGGCUGAUCAGCUCAAAGAAAUUGAUGGGUUUGGUCCUUUCACACGGGCCAACGUGCUUAUGUGCAUGGGAUUUUAUCAUGUUAUUCCUGCUGAUUCUGAAACUGUUAGACAUAUAAAACAGUGUAGGUUCAUGCCAAAAAUUCCACCAUUCAAACAGUUCAUAAGCAUAUCGAAGAGAUAUAUGGAAAAUAUACACCCCUCCAAUUCUUAGCUUACUGGACGGAAUUGUGGCACUUCUACGAGCAAAGGUUUGGGAAGUUCUAUGAAAUGCCUUGCUCUGAAUAUAAACUCAUUACUGCCAGUAAUAUGAGAAACAAGGGAAGUUGUAAAAUCAAGAGAGCUAAAAUAUCUUGAUAGAGUGACCAUGACUUAAAUUAAAUGUGAAAAUUUGAAGGCCAUACUUUGCCAACUGCAAUAAAGAAAUCGUCCCUUUUGUUAUUUGUCCGCAUUAAGUUUCUUUCUAAAAUUUGUGAACUCCAACACUGUCUUCAUUCUGUAUAUGAUGCUUUAUGUUAUCAACACAUCACUUCUGCUUUACGCAUGAAAGCGGCCGGGGUGUACACUAUACUUUCAUUCAAAUCUUAAUAAUUAACGGAAUCGGUAUCAAACAA